rnacentral:rRNA from 1 species
AUUGAACGCUGGCGGCAGGCCUAACACAUGCAAGUCGAGCGAAUGAAGGGAGCUUGCUCCUGGAUUCAGCGGCGGACGGGUGAGUAAUGCCUAGGAAUCUGCCUGGUAGUGGGGGAUAACGUCCGGAAACGGGCGCUAAUACCGCAUACGUCCUGAGGGAGAAAGUGGGGGAUCUUCGGACCUCACGCUAUCAGAUGAGCCUAGGUCGGAUUAGCUAGUUGGUGGGGUAAAGGCCUACCAAGGCGACGAUCCGUAACUGGUCUGAGAGGAUGAUCAGUCACACUGGAACUGAGACAAGGUCCAGACUCCUACGGGAGGCAGCAGUGGGGAAUAUUGGACAAUGGGCGAAAGCCUGCUCCAGCCAUGCCGCGUGUGUGAAGAAGGUCUUCGGAUUGUAAAGCACUUUACGUUGGGAGGAAGGGCAGUAAGUUAAUACCUUGCUGUUUUGACGUUACCAACAGAAUAAGCACCGGCUAACUUCGUG